AUUUAUCUAAUAUAUUUAAGUAUAUUUGACUUCCAAUCAAAAAGUUUGUUAUUAACAAGAUAAAUA
rnacentral:tRNA from 1 species